GCUUAACACAUGCAAGUCGAACGAACCUUUCGGGGUUAGUGGCGGACGGGUGAGUAACGCGUGAGGAUCUGCCCUUAGGAGGGGGACAACUUUUGGAAACGGAAGCUAAUACCCCAUAUGUCGAGAGAUGAAACUUUUUGGCCUGAGGAUGAACUCGCGUCUGAUUAGCUAGUUGGUGGGGUAAGGGCCUACCAAGGCGACGAUCAGUAGCUGUUCUGAGAGGAAGAUCAGCCACACUGGGACUGAGACACGGCCCAGNCUCCUACGGGAGGCNGCAGUGGGGAAUUUUCCGCAAUGGGCGCAAGCCUGACGGAGCAACGCCGCGUGAGGGAGGAAUGUCUGUGGAUUGUAAACCUCUUUUCUCU
rnacentral:rRNA from 1 species